CCUACGGGAGGCAGCAGUGGGGAAUAUUGGACAAUGGGGGCAACCCUGAUCCAGCCAUGCCGCGUGUGUGAAGAAGGCCCUCGGGUUGUAAAGCACUUUCAGUGAGGAAGAACGCCUGGUGGUUAAUACCCAUCAGGAAAGACAUCACUCGCAGAAGAAGCACCGGCUAACUCCGUGCCAGCAGCCGCGGUAAUACGGAGGGUGCGAGCGUUAAUCGGAAUUACUGGGCGUAAAGCGCGCGUAGGUGGCUUGAUAAGCCGGUUGUGAAAGCCCCGGGCUCAACCUGGGAACGGCAUCCGGAACUGUCAAGCUAGAGUGCAGGAGAGGAAGGUAGAAUUCCCGGUGUAGCGGUGAAAUGCGUAGAGAUCGGGAGGAAUACCAGUGGCGAAGGCGGCCUUCUGGACUGACACUGACACUGAGGUGCGAAAGCGUGGGUAGCAAACAGGAUUAGAUACCCGUGUAGUC
rnacentral:rRNA from 1 species